rnacentral:lncRNA from 1 species
UUCUGUUUCCCUAUUGUUUGUGAAACUGGAGGACAGACACAGAGCAGGUUUAGUUUUUAGCUCCCAUUGUUCUGUAGUUGUCUGGUUGCUCAUUCAUGAAGUUAUUUGGGGCCUGUUGAGAGGAUGAUAUGAAUGCAGUGAUAAGCUCUGACCAGCAUGCCCACCUUCAAGCUCGGGAAGCUCUACUAAGCGAAGCAACGCUACUAUACAGCAAUUCAGCCGCAACAAGGGAGACACCAGAAACAUACUCAGCAACUUCAUUUGGUGAGUAAAGCAAUUCUGAUGCAUUGUAGCUUUGAAGUGGAUAUUUUGUGAAAAUAUUUAUUAUGGAUGUAAGACUUGCUUUUCAGUUUGUGGUUUUUGGUUUUUUCCCCCCCCCCCACAACAUGUAACACUAAGAUCUUGUUUGCUAAAGGGGUAGUUUUUCUCCCUUGUCUUGUCCCCUGAGAUAAAUAAGCUAGGUUCAGUGGCAAGGGAUUAAGUCCCAAGCACAGAAAUAGCUGGCACAUGCUUCCUCCCCCCCCCCCCAUAAGCAAGGAUUUAUUGUUUUGUUGUUUCAAGUUGAAGACAGACAGGUCUCCACUUCACCAUGAAAACUUGAGCUAGCCAAGGCUAGCUGUUCCAUUUUAGUACGGAUACUCUUAGGCGUACUAGUUCCUACCUGUAAUGCAGAGACUUCUACCUUUGGUAGAGACAGUCUUUCCAAAAAACCAUAACAUGAUGAUCAUUCUUCUAUGAAAUGGAUGUACUGUCAUCCGCUUCCCAUUGCGCAGAAGCAAGCUUUGUUUCCAGUAUUUCGAGGGCAUGCUGAAAUGAGAAGAACAGAGUUACACCUAGAAGUCUUCUUCUACAGUUUUGC